CAGAGCUUGCUCUGUGGAUCAGUGGCGAACGGGUGAGUAACACGUGAGCAAUCUGCCCCUGACUCUGGGAUAAGCGCUGGAAACGGCGUCUAAUACCGGAUACGAGCUGCGACCGCAUGGUCAGUAGCUGGAAAGAAUUUCGGUCAGGGAUGAGCUCGCGGCCUAUCAGCUUGUUGGUGAGGUAAUGGCUCACCAAGGCGUCGACGGGUAGCCGGCCUGAGAGGGUGACCGGCCACACUGGGACUGAGACACGGCCCAGACUCCUACGGGAGGCAGCAGUGGGGAAUAUUGCACAAUGGGCGAAAGCCUGAUGCAGCAACGCCGCGUGAGGGAUGACGGCCUUCGGGUUGUAAACCUCUUUUAGCAGGGAAGAAGCGAAAGUGACGGUACCUGCAGAAAAAGCGCCGGCUAACUACGUGCCAGCAGCCGCGGUAAUACGUAGGGCGCAAGCGUUAUCCGGAAUUAUUGGGCGUAAAGAGCUCGUAGGCGGUCUGUCGCGUCUGCUGUGAAAACCCGAGGCUCAACCUCGGGCCUGCAGUGGGUACGGGCAGACUAGAGUGCGGUAGGGGAGAUUGGAAUUCCUGGUGUAGCGGUGGAAUGCGCAGAUAUCAGGAGGAACACCGAUGGCGAAGGCAGAUCUCUGGGCCGUAACUGACGCUGAGGAGCGAAAGGGUGGGGAGCAAACAGGCUUAGAUACCCUGGUAGUCCACCCCGUAAACGUUGGGAACUAGUUGUGGGGUCCAUUCCACGGAUUCCGUGACGCAGCUAACGCAUUAAGUUCCCCGCCUGGGGAGUACGGCCGCAAGGCUAAAACUCAAAGGAAUUGACGGGGACCCGCACAAGCGGCGGAGCAUGCGGAUUAAUUCGAUGCAACGCGAAGAACCUUACCAAGGCUUGACAUAUAGAGGAAACGUCUGGAAACAGUCGCCCCGCAAGGUCUCUAUACAGGUGGUGCAUGGUUGUCGUCAGCUCGUGUCGUGAGAUGUUGGGUUAAGUCCCGCAACGAGCGCAACCCUCGUUCUAUGUUGCCAGCACGUAAUGGUGGGAACUCAUGGGAUACUGCCGGGGUCAACUCGGAGGAAGGUGGGGAUGACGUCAAAUCAUCAUGCCCCUUAUGUCUUGGGCUUCACGCAUGCUACAAUGGCCGGUACAAAGGGCUGCAAUACCGUGAGGUGGAGCGAAUCCCAAAAAGCCGGUCCCAGUUCGGAUUGAGGUCUGCAACUCGACCUCAUGAAGUCGGAGUCGCUAGUAAUCGCAGAUCAGCAACGCUGCGGUGAAUACGUUCCCGGGUCUUGUACACACCGCCCGUCAAGUCAUGAAAGUCGGUAACACCUGAAGCCGGGGCCCA
rnacentral:rRNA from 1 species